rnacentral:tRNA from 1 species
GGAGCGAUGGUGUAGUUGGUUAUCACGUCUGUCUAACAUUUCAUUGUUCACAGACGGUCCUCAGUUCGAACCUGGGUCGCUUCA